GGAUCGUUGCUGCCCUGGAGAAGUCUAGUGAUUCCUGCAGGCAUGCUAUUUGUAGCUCAAAUUUGAAUAGAUCAAAAGCAAUUGUUGUCAGUUCUGGCAGAAAUUGGGAUGGAUUGAGAGGAAGAUAUGAGGAUUUAGAGAUGGAAAGUUUGGAGAAUUAUACUUACGUCACAAGCCAUGGACCUGGCAAGUCAUCUACCAAGGUGUAUUAUGAUGGAGGUGAACGAAGGAGAAGUAGUAGUGGACAUGACAGAAACGGCUUUGGUGCUGUGAAGGAAACAACCCCAGCAGCAAGAUUUGUGGAAGGUGAUGUUGUUCCGACUUACCCAACUUCAGAUUUUCUCAGCACUUGUCACCUGUGCAGGAAAAAGCUGCAUGGCAAAGACAUAUACAUGUAUAGGUAAACAACCUUUGCCUAGUUCAUCUUUUUGCUUAAUAACUUUCUCUUUAUCAAGCUAUAGCUUUUAACUAAUUAAGAUUCCUUGUUCAAUUUGGACGGUUGUUGGUCAUCCUGAAAAAAUAAAUAGAAAACAAAUCAUACGCUUUUUUGCAGAAUCCUUUGUUGGUUCGUUAUGUUUUUUGUUAAGAGAGAGGCUGAU
rnacentral:lncRNA from 1 species